ensembl:lncRNA
UAUUCUACAAUGUAGAAAAUAGUAAAAAUAAAUUAAAAUCCUUGAAUGAGUAGGUGUGUCCAAACUUUUGACCGGUACUGUAUGUACAUAUCUAAAAAUAUAUGUAUUUUCCUUUAUAAUUUUCGAUAACCCUGCCACCCUUCCCCUAAUUACCUUUUUUUGUACAAGCUAAAUGAGUGCUGUAUCUCUCCCAAAUCAACCUUUGUGAAUGGCUUUGUUAAUCAUUUCGAGCAAUAGUGGACCUAACUGAUUAAUAAAAAAAUAAAUUGACUUCAGGAGGAAUACUGUCCCUUCCAGUUGAUUUCCCUUUAUUCAUGUUAUCCAAUGCCCUUUAUUCAUGUUAUCCAAUGCCCUUUAUUCAUGUUAUCCAAUGCCCUUUAUUUAUGUUAUCCAAUGCCCUUUAUUCAUGUUAUCCAAUGCCCUUUAUUUAUGUUAUCCAAUGCCCUUUAUUUAUGUUAUCCAAUGCCCUUUAUUUAUGUUAUCCAGUGCCCUUUAUUUAUGUUAUCCAAUGCCCUUUAUUCAUGUUAUCCAAUGCCCUUUAUUUAUGUUAUCCAAUGCCCUUUAUUCAUGUUAUCCAGUGCCCUUUAUUCAUGUUAUCCAAUGCCCUUUAUUUAUGUUAUCCAAUGCCCUUUAUUUAUGUUAUCCAGUGCCCUUUAUUCAUGUUAUCAAAUGCCCUUUAUUUAUGCUGUCCAAUGCCCUUUAUUUAUGUAACCAAUGCCCUUUAUUCAUGCUGUCCAAUGCCCUUUAUUCAUGUUAUCCAAUGCCCUUUAUUCAUGCUGUCCAAUGCCUUUUAUUCAUGUUAUCCAAUGCCCUUUAUUCAUGCUGUCCAAUGCCUUUUAUUCAUGUUAUCCAAUGCCCUUUAUUCAUGCUGUCCAAUCCCCUUUAUUCAUGUUGUCCAAUGCCCUUUAUUCAUGCUAUCCAAUGCCCUUUAUUCAUGCUGUCCAAUGCCCUUUAUUCAUGUUAUCCAAUGCCCUUUAUUCAUGCUGUCCAAUGUCCUUUAUUCAUGCUAUCCAAUGCCCUUCAUUCAUGUUAUCCAAUGCCCUUUAUUCAUGUUAUCCAAUGCCCUUUAUUUAUGCUGUCCAAUGCCCUUUAUUUAUGCUGUCCAAUGCCCUUUAUUCAUGCUGUCCAAUGCCCUUUGUUUAUGCUAUCCAAUGCCCUUUAUUCAUGCUGUCCAAUGCCCUUUAUUUAUGCUGUCCAAUGCCCUUUAUUUAUGUAACCAAUGCCCUUUAUUUAUGUUAUCCAGUGCCCUUUAUUCAUGUUAUCCAAUGCCCUUUAUUUAUGCUGUCCAAGGCCCUUUAUUUAUGUAACCAAUGCCCUUUAUUUAUGUUAUCCAAUGCCCUUUAUUUAUGUUAUCCAAUGCCCUUUAUUCAUGCUGUCCAAUGCCCUUUAUUUAUGUUAUCCAAUGCCCUUUAUUCAUGCUGUCCAAUGCCCUUUAUUUAUGUUAUCCAGUGCCCUUUAUUCAUGCUGUCCAGUGCCCUUUAUUUAUGUUAUCCAGUGCCCUUUAUUUAUGCUGUCCAAUGCCCUUUAUUCAUGUUAUCCAAUGCCUUUUAUUCAUGCUGUCCAAUGCCCUUUAUUCAUGCUGUCCAAUGCCCUUUAUUCAUGCUGUCCAAUGCCCUUUAUUCAUGCUGUCCAAUGCCCUUUUGAGUUCAUUGAGAGAGAUUUGGGCUCCCUGUGAGGUGGCUUCCUCUGUUGAGAGAAGAGGAGUUCUUGAUUCUUAAAGAACUUGGUGUGGAUUUAAAAUCAGAGGUGAACAGUUCUUUAUAGAAGUGGGAUAAUCUUUGAUUGAUUCAUUUGGGUUCCGAUAUUAAGUCCCCAGUUUCAGAUACAAUAGUUGCUUUAUCAGCUAAUUGAUCAUUACUACCUGGUCUGAAAAAGUGAACGCUCUAACGCAGCUAAACAACAUUUCCAAUUCUGAUAUCUUGUUUAAUUGUGAUUUAUUCAGCCCAGAUGUCACGACUUCCGCCAAAGUCGGUCCCUCUCCUUGUUUUGGCGUUCGGCGGUCGACGUCACCGGCCUUCUUGCCAUAGCCAAUCCACUUUUCAUUUUCCAUUUGUUUUGUCUUUGUUUUACACACCUGUUUUCAAUGCCAGCAAUUACUUGUUCAUUAUUUAACCCUCUGUUCCCUCAUGUUUUUUUGUGAGUGAGUGAUUGUAUGUAUUUGAUCCGUUAUUGUGGGCUAAGUUUAUUGAGUUGAUUAUAUUUGAAUUCUUGAGUAAAGUAAGCUCAUUACUAAUUUCUGCUGUCCUGCGCCUGACUCUUCCACACCAGCUACACACAGGGAGAUUACACCAAAUGCAGUUGCAUUAUUUUUAAUAAAAACUUUGGUGGCAUUCCAGAAUCCGGGGGUCAUCGACUGAAUUUGUAUUUGAUCAUUAUGAAUUAAUUAAGUUAAAUUUCAAAUUGAUCACAGAAUAUAGGAUUUUGUAGUAAUGAAACAUUGAAACGCCAGCUUGUGGCUCUUUUAGUAGAUUGUAAGAUUUGAAGUUGGCAGUUGUAAGCGUGGUGAUCGGACAACCUGGUGGUCAGACUCAUGGUGGUCAAGCUCAUAUGUCGAAUUUAUAUUUUCUUAAUUUGAGAAAAAAAAGGCACUCGUUUGCUUCUGGAUUAUGUGCUCGCCAGGCAUCAAUGAGGUUAUAAUCAGAGGAUAUGAUGGAAAGCCUUGGUUUCCUGUGGAUUGUAUGUCUAAAAUGGCCUUCAUGUCUGUCCCAAUAACCAGAUGGAAUUCUAGCAAUAAUAUUCAGAGAAUCAAAACACUUAAGAUCAUAUGAAUUUGGAGCGUACACAUUAAAAAUGCCAUUUUCUUUCCAUUAUGGAUAUCACGCCCUGAUCUGUUUCACCUUUCUUGUGCUUGUCUCUACCCCCCACCAGGUGUCUCCCAUUUGUCCCCAUUAUCCCCUGUGUAUUUAUACCAGUGUUUUCUGUUGCCAGUUCGUCUUGUCCCCUCAAGUCUUACCAGUGUGUUUUCCCGGUUUCUAGUCUUCCUGGUUCUGACCAUACUGCCUGCCCGCCGUUCUUUACCUCAUUGACUCUGCCCUGGAUUACUGACCUCUGCCUGCCCCCUUGUAUAAUAAAUAUUAUGAGAACUGUACUGUCCGCCUCCUACAUCUGGGUCAUGUCCUGAGUCGUGAUAAUGGAUCCAUUUAAGGAAAGUGAUUCUGCCUUCUUGGUCUUCAACUUCACCCAAUAUGGUGAGUUUCUGAUGCAUCAUCAACUACCUUUAGUUUGGUUUGAGGCUGAUGAGAAAGCAGACAGUUGGUACAAAUGCUUCUGCAUUCUGUGUCCUUAUGGACCAGGUGUUGUCUAUUCUAUAUGAGUCCUUAUGGAGCAGGUGUGUUGUCUAUUCUAUAUGAGUCCUUAUGGAGCACGUGUUGUCUAUUCUAUAUGAGUCCUUAUAGAGCAGGUGUUGUCUAUUCUAUAUGGGUCCUUAUGGACCAGGUGUUGUCUAUUCUAUACAAGUCCUUAUGGAGCAGUUGUUGUCUAUUCUAUAUGAGUCCUUAUGGAGCAGGUGUUGUCUAUUCUAUAUGAGUCCUUAUGGAGCAGGUAUAUAUUCUAUAUGAGUCCUUAUGGAGCAGGUGUUGUCUAUUCUAUAUGGGUCCUUAUGGACCAGGUGUUGUUUAUUCUAUAUGAGUCCUUAUGGAGCAGGUGUUGUCUAUUCUAUAUGAGUCCUUAUGGAGCAGGUGUUGUCUAUUUUAUAUGAGUCCUUAUGGAGCAGGUG